rnacentral:rRNA from 1 species
AGAAACGGAGGGGAAAGUGGCGCGGGAUCAGGAGGGGUGGAAGAGUUAAUGUGAAUGUCGGGAGGUAAAGAGUGAGGAGGGUGUUGCUUAAGUCCGUUGUGAAGGCCCUGGGCUCAACCUGUGAACGACGAUGGAUACUGAGGAGAUGGAGUACGGUAGAGGAAGGGGGAAUUCCCGGUGUAGCGGUGAAAUGCGUAGAGAUCGGGAGGAACAUCAGUGGCGAAGGCGGCCUUCUGGACCAGUACUGACGCUGAGGCACGAAAGCGUGGGGAGCAAACAGGAUUAGAUACCCUAGUAGUC